ACGUGUGGAGAGCACAAGCCGGAAAUGGAAAAGCCGGUGCAAGCGAGGUAGGAGUACAGUAGGCAAAUCCGCUGUACAAUCCGAAGACGUGAUGCGGACCGAAUUAAGAGUAGGGAAGUGCGUGAGCCAUGCGUCAAGAAAAGCCGCUAUUGUUUUACUUAAGCCCGUACCGUAAACCGACACAGGUGGAUGAGGAGAGAAUCCUAAGGCCGACGGGAGAAGCAUUGUUAAGGAACUCGGCAAAAUGACUCCGUAACUUCGGGAGAAGGAGUGCCAGCGAGAGCUGGCCGCAGAGAAUUGGCCCAAGCAACUGUUUAGCAAAAACACAGGUCUAUGCAAAACCGUAAGGUGAAGUAUAUGGGCUGACGCCUGCCCGGUGCUGGAAGGUUAAGAGGAGAGGUUAGCGGCAACGCGAAGCUUUGAAUUUAAGCCCCAGUAAACGGCGGCCGUAACAAUAACGGUCCUAAGGUAGCGAAAUUCCUUGUCGGGUAAGUUCCGACCCGCACGAAAGGCGUAAUGAUUUGGGCACUGUCUCAACAAUGCACCCGGUGAAAUUGAAAUACCAGUGAAGAUGCUGGUUACCUGCGCCAGGACGGAAAGACCCCAUGGAGCUUUACUCCAGCUUGAUACUGGGAUUCGGUAUUGCAUGUACAGGAUAGGUGGGAGGCUAGGAAGUGAUAACGCCAGUUGUCACGGAGCCGCUGUUGGGAUACCACCCUUGCAGUAUUGGAUUUCUAACCAGCGACCAUGAACUGGUCGGGGGACAAUGUCAGGUGGGGAGUUUGACUGGGGCGGUCGCCUCCGAAAGGGUAUCGGAGGCGCUCAAAGGUUCCCUCAGAAUGGACGGAAACCAUUCGAAGAGUGCAAAGGCAGAAGGGAGCUUGACUGCGACACCGACGGGUGGAGCAGGUACGAAAGUAGGACUUAGUGAUCCGGUGGUAUAAAGUGGGAUUGCCAUCGCUCAACGGAUAAAAGCUACCCUGGGGAUAACAGGCUUAUCACUCCCAAGAGUUCACAUCGACGGAGUGGUUUGGCACCUCGAUGUCGGCUCAUCGCAUCCUGGGGCUGAAGUAGGUCCCAAGGGUUGGGCUGUUCGCCCAUUAAAGCGGUACGCGAGCUGGGUUCAGAACGUCGUGAGACAGUUCGGUCCCUAUCCGGCGUGGGCGUAGGAUAUUUGAGAGGAGCUGUCCUUAGUACGAGAGGACCGGGAUGGACUGGCCGCUGGUGUAUCUGUUGCAUACCAAAUGCAUGGCAGAGUAGCCAAGCCGGGACGGGAUAAACGCUGAAGGCAUCUAAGCGUGAAGCCCCCCUCAAGAUGAGAUAUCCCUACGUAAGUAGUAAGACCCCUUGAAGACGACGAGGUAGAUAGGUCAGAGGUGGAAGUACAGUAAUGUAUGGAGCUGACUGAUACUAAUCGGUCGAGGGCAUGACCG
rnacentral:rRNA from 1 species